CCUCUGUGGAGUUUUCUCCUUUCCUGCCACUGACUGUGCCGAAAACAAACUUCCCUUUGACAAGGCUGCAGAAUAACGACCCCGUUUUUCUCCAGAGCGUCCCAUCUUCCCAGGGGCCGGGCCAGGGAAAUGGCUGUGGUGGAUCCAGCUGAGGGGCCAGUGAGCUUCGAGGAGGUGGCUGUGUAUUUCCCCAUGGGGCAGGGGGCUCUGCUGGACCCCGCUCAGAGAGCCCUCUACAGGGACGUCCUGCAGGAGAACUAUGGGACUGUACUUGUGUGAUGGAGCGGUGUGACGAUGCAGUUCUGGCGGGACCCAACUGAGGUGCCAAAUCAGGACCAAUUGCUUAAACAGGGCAGUCACAGCCCUAGGCUGGGGUUUUUCCACCUCUAAGG